rnacentral:rRNA from 1 species
ACAGUGGACGCGAGCAUCUUUGUGGCUCAAGUUUUUAAGGGCACACGGUGGAUGCCUUGGCACCAGGAACCGAAGAAGGACGUAGGAAUCUGCGAUAAGCCUCGGGGAGUCGAUAACCAGACUGUGAUCCGAGGAUUUCCGAAUGGGGAAACCCGGCUGGAGGCAAGUCCAGUCACUCCCGCCUGAACACAUAGGGCGGGUAGAGGGAACGUGGGGAAGUGAAACAUCUCAGUACCCACAGGAAGAGAAAGCAACCGCGAUUCCGUGAGUAGUGGCGAGCGAAAGCGGAAGAGGCUAAACCUCAGUUGUGUGAUACCUGUCAGGGGUUGCAGCUGGGGGGUCGUGGGACUUUUCGGUCAGUGCUGACACGCUGGCAUGGAGUCAGAAAUGCGCGUUGUAGUCGAAGGGCAUUGAAAGGCCCGGCACAGAGGGUGCUACCCCCGUAGACGAAACGAUGCGCACUCCAGAGAAGUAUCCCAAGUAGCACGGGGCCCGAGAAAUCCCGUGUGAAUCUGGCGGGACCACCCGCUAAGCCUAAAUAUUCCCUGGUGACCGAUAGCGGACAAGUACCGUGAGGGAAAGGUGAAAAGUACCCCGGGAGGGGAGUGAAAUAGAUCCUGAAACCGUGUGCCUACAAUCCGUCGGAGCCUCCUUGUGGGGUGACGGCGUGCCUUUUGAAGAAUGAGCCUGCGAGUUAGUGCUCAGUGGCGAGGUUAACCCGUGUGGGGAAGCCGUAGCGAAAGCGAGUCCGAAUAGGGCGUUUUAGUCGCUGGGUCUAGACCCGAAGCGGAGUGAUCUACCCAUGGCCAGGUUGAAGCGACGGUAAGACGUCGUGGAGGACCGAACCCACUUAGGUUGAAAACUGAGGGGAUGAGCUGUGGGUAGGGGUGAAAGGCCAAUCAAACUCCGUGAUAGCUGGUUCUCCCCGAAAUGCAUUUAGGUGCAGCGUCACGUGUUUCUUACCGGAGGUAGAGCUACUGGAUAGCUGAUGGGCCUCACCAGGUUACUGACGUUAGCCAAACUCCGAAUGCCGGUAAGUGAGAGCGUGGCAGUGAGACUGCGGGGGAUAAGCUCCGUAGUCGAGAGGGAAACAGCCCAGACCACCAUCUAAGGUCCCUAAGCGUGUGCUAAGUGGGAAAGGAUGUGGAGUUGCAUUGACAACCAGGAGGUUGGCUUAGAAGCAGCCAC